rnacentral:rRNA from 1 species
UGGGGAAUUUUGGACAAUGGGGGGAACCCUGAUCCAGCCAUGCCGCGUGCAGGAUGAAGGCCUUCGGGUUGUAAACUGCUUUUGUACGGAACGAAAAGGUCUUUUCUAAUAAAGAAGGCUGAUGACGGUACCGUAAGAAUAAGCACCGGCUAACUACGUGCCAGCAGCCGCGGUAAUACGUAGGGUGCGAGCGUUAAUCGGAAUUACUGGGCGUAAAGCGUGCGCAGGCGGUUAUGCAAGACAGAUGUGAAAUCCCCGGGCUCAACCUGGGAACUGCAUUAGUGACUGCAUAGCUAGAGUGCGGCAGAGGGGGAUGGAAUUCCGCGUGUAGCAGUGAAAUGCGUAGAUAUGCGGAGGAACACCGAUGGCGAAGGCAAUCCCCUGGGCCUGCACUGACGCUCAUGCACGAAAGCGUGGGGAGCAAACAGG